rnacentral:rRNA from 1 species
UACGAACGCUGGCGGCGUGCUUAACACAUGCAAGUCGAACGGAAAGGCCCUGCUUUUGUGGGGUGCUCGAGUGGCGAACGGGUGAGUAACCCGUGAGUAACCUGCCCUUGACUUUGGGAUAACUUCAGGAAACUGGGGCUAAUACCGGAUAGGAGCUCCUGCUGCAUGGUGGGGGUUGGAAAGUUUCGGCGGUUGGGGAUGGACUCGCGGCUUAUCAGCUUGUUGGUGGGGUAGUGGCUUACCAAGGCUUUGACGGGUAGCCGGCCUGAGAGGGUGACCGGCCACAUUGGGACUGAGAUACGGCCCAGACUCCUACGGGAGGCAGCAGUGGGGAAUAUUGCACAAUGGGCGGAAGCCUGAUGCAGCAACGCCGCGUGCGGGAUGACGGCCUUCGGGUUGUAAACCGCUUUCGCCUGUGACGAAGCGUGAGUGACGGUAAUGGGUAAAGAAGCACCGGCUAACUACGUG